CUGGACCCCUCACUGUCUGCCAAAAACCCAAAAGCCAAGGGACCAAAGAAAGACUCUGAGCGCAACAAGGAAACUGCCUUUCUUGAAGCUCAGAUUUAUGAAUAUGUGGAGAUCUUGGGGGAGCAAAGGCAGCUAACCCAUGAGAACGUCCAGAGGAAGCA